rnacentral:lncRNA from 1 species
UAGCGGGCUACUGGGCUGCGGAGACCAGAGCCCGGCUCCACUGAAGAAACCCGCCGGCUGCUGGGGCAGGGCGGCGAAAGGUCAGUCGGCCGAGAGGAGUCCGUGGAGCCACCGUUUCAUAGCCUCAGGGAAAGGAUCGGGCGUGCUCACGAGCCCUCUAACCCAUGGCUUAAACACCCGCUUCCUAAGCCUGGCCUCUCAAGCACUGUGAAAAAUCACUUUCUCUUGUUGUAUUCUUGGAGCCCCUGCUAAUUCAUUAUUGAAAAAUACCUGCUGCCUGCAUUUGGCCUUAUGUUGUCAUUUACUUGGUACUUCCUAAGCGUGGCUACUCCAAUGAAGCUUUAGUAUAUGUACUGAAAGAAGAUCCUCUCAUACUGCCACAGCCAAGAGAUAAGGUUGUAAAUCUUUAUUGGGAGAAGCCGUCAAGGACAGUUCUGUGAAAUGAAAGGAUCUCUGGAUCACCACAAAGUCUGGCUCAGUGACUAUGGCUUUGCAAACACUAAACAUUCCUGUCUCAAGUCCUGUAGAUGGCUUGAAAUAGUAUACAUAAGCAUGCCUUAUAAACAUCUUCAGUCUUUAUCAACUCUUUGGAGAUUCAGCCAUUCUUUUUUGUACUUUAGGGAAUUAAAUCAUUUUAUAAUGUAUAAAUCUGAGCAUGGCCGAUGGCAGAAGAAAUUUUGUCAUACGUUUUUAAAGAAAUAAAAAUGUAUUAUGUUUUAAAAUUC